GGCGGGGUAGCUCAGCUGGUUAGAGCGUACGACUCAUAAUCGUAAGGUCAAGAGUUCGAGUCUCUUCCUCGCUACAA
rnacentral:tRNA from 13 species